AGUGAACGCUGGCGGUAGGCCUAACACAUGCAAGUCGAACGGCAGCACAGUAAGAGCUUGCUCUUACGGGUGGCGAGUGGCGGACGGGUGAGGAAUACAUCGGAAUCUACUUUUUCGUGGGGGAUAACGUAGGGAAACUUACGCUAAUACCGCAUACGACCUACGGGUGAAAGCAGGGGAUCUUCGGACCUUGCGCGAUUGAAUGAGCCGAUGUCGGAUUAGCUAGUUGGCGGGGUAAAGGCCCACCAAGGCGACGAUCCGUAGCUUGUCUGAGAGGAUGAUCAGCCACACUGGAACUGAGACACGGUCCAGACUCCUACGGGAGGCAGCAGUGGGGAAUAUUGGACAAUGGGCGCAAGCCUGAUCCAGCCAUACCGCGUGGGUGAAGAAGGCCUUCGGGUUGUAAAGCCCUUUUGUUGGGAAAGAAAAGCAGCAGGUUAAUACCCCGCUGUUCUGACGGAACCCAAAGAAUAAGCACCGGCUAACUUCGU
rnacentral:rRNA from 1 species